GAGACAACCGCAAGGAGUCAGCCGUCUAAGGUGGGACAAAUGAUUAGGGUGAAGUCGUAACAAGGUAGCCGUAGGAGAACCUGCGGCUGGAUCACCUCCUU
rnacentral:rRNA from 1 species